rnacentral:rRNA from 1 species
AGAGCUCAAAUUUAAAAUCUGGCGUCCUCUGGUCGUCCGAGUUGUAGUCUGGAGAAGUGUUUUCCGUGUUGGACCGUGUGUAAGUCCCUUGGAACAGGGCGUCAUAGAGGGUGAGAAUCCCGUCUCUGACACGGACUACCAAUGCUUUUGUGAUACGCUCUCGAAGAGUCGAGUUGUUUGGGAAUGCAGCUCAAAAUGGGUGGUAAAUUCCAUCUAAAGCUAAAUAUAGGCGAGAGACCGAUAGCGAA